UGUGCGAAUCGUAGGUGUUUUGCAAUAACAAUCUAACGAAAAACAAAAUCUAUGUACUUACAUAACAACAUGUGAGUCUGUUCACAUGAAACUGUCAAAAAAAAAGAAGAAAUAUCAAGAGGGAUGCAUGAAUGGGAGUAAAAUGAGCUGGCAUUGUUGGCUAACAGGUUGGCAGCGCAAAAUGGUAAACAAAAGGCAAGCAAAGUGAAGGCCCAGGAAACGGCAGCCUGAGCAGAGAAAAAAGCGCAAUAUUGCAUACAAUUUGCCUUUCGCCCUUUUGGCAAGAGAUGCCAAUGCGAAUGCCGGCCCGAAGGCUGCCACACAUGCUGCAACAAUGACACUUUGCAGUUGCAACAAAACGGAAGUAAUUUUGCGCAGGCAGCCAAUGGGAGACAAAAGGCUUGGGAAAACGGAGACCUGGCCCGACAGACAGACAUACUUCUCAUUGAUGAACACGUCUCUCGAUUGCUGUGUGUGUCUGUGUGUGUGUGUGUGCCUUUGGGCCGAGAUUGCCAGCCCGUAUGCGGCAUGAAUUAUGUGAGAAACUGUUGGGCUAAGUAGAUAGUUGAUAGAUGAUAUGUGGGUUACACGGAAGUAAACCUAAACGUGUAUGUAAACCAAACCCGAACCCAAACCCAAAUCCAAGACGUAAUUGAAACAUUCUGAGACACGGAAGUGUUUUGGCAGAUUCUCAGGCAGCCGGCAGCUGUGACAGUUUUUCUGUGUGUCUCUUUAUUAAGCCAACAGUUCUAUUGAACACGGGUAAAGAGAUUUAGACGUUUGGCAUAUAUAUCACAUAAUUUUGGCUGAGCAAAUAUUUGUUGCUAAAAUUGGUUAAAGGCAUUUCUUGUAAGCAAUUUUGAUUAAUGCGCAUUCAGCCUUAGCCAGGCCAAAAUCGUCUUGCUGUUAUCCAAACUCAACCUGAUUAUCAGCCAUAGCUACGCCCAUAUUAAUCAAGCAGCAAGCCAGCUCUCUGUUGCUAACUGAAGUGAAAUAAAGAGAGGCAAAAACUUUUAUUCUCUGCUGUUUAACACCUGAAGGCCUACUACUCAUAUUUCCAAUAGAUUUUUGUAGUAAGAUACGAGUUCAAGGCCUAGAUUGAAUAAUAUUCAGUGUUUGCUGUUCAUAUUGGUGAUUUGUUUACAUUUCAGUUUAGUUGAAGUUUAUAAAAAUAAAACUCAAUUCGGCAAAUCGGAAGAACAAACUCUCCAUUCAAGCCACAAAAUCGUGCGCGGCAUUAAUGCAAACGCUGAUCUCUAGGGCAAACAAGAGAGAGAGAGAGAAAAAAUCAUAUGCAAAGCAUCAGAGAUAACAAAAAUAAGAAAAAAUCGAAUACACGUAAAGCCGAAUGCAAACAAUUAGUAU